UUUAUGGAGAGUUUGAUCCUGGCUCAGGAUGAACGCUGGCGGCGUGCCUAAUACAUGCAAGUCGAGCGAACAGACGAGGAGCUUGUUCCUCUGACGUUAGCGGCGGACGGGUGAGUAACACGUGGAUAACUUACCUAUAAGACUGGGAUAACUUCGGGAAACCGGAGCUAAUACCGGAUAAUAUAUUGAACCGCAUGGUUCAAUAGUGAAAGACGGUUUUGCUGUCACUUAUAGAUGGAUCCGCGCCGCAUU
rnacentral:rRNA from 1 species